GCCUUCGUGGUGUAAGGUUAGCACACUCGGCGCGUAUUCGAGAGGCCGAGGUUCGAGUCUCAGCCAAGGCG
rnacentral:tRNA from 1 species